CAGUAUAUCACAUCCCUUUGCCAGAAAAAGCUAUUGAAUUACAAAAAAUGCUAUAGGAACUACAAAAUAAAAAGAGAUGAUAUUUAAUAAAAAAGGAGCAUGCCAUAAAAUAGAGACCGGAUAAAGCUAUAGCAGAUCUAAUGAGGGAAAAUGGCAAAAAAGAUUAUGAGAAACCCGGUAGGCAUGGGAGUGAGGAAAAGACGAAAGUACCUCCAAAAGGGUACCAAGGCAUUUUGGAGUGGAAGGGCAACAUUCCUGUUGGGGAUUGGGCCGUCAGAUUUAAUAACUUGAUUGACUGUUUAAUAAGAGAUCAAUGCUCCAUUAACAUAGCUCAUAACUUUGAGGAGCAAGGAUUUAAAGACAUAAGGAAGAUUUGGGAGAAGCUCAUGAUAAUUAUUUUUUAUACUGCUUAUUUUGUUUACAAUUCACAAUGAUUAUUCUUAUAGUGUAUUUUUUUUGCCAUGUAACUUGCAGGAUCAUUAUUGUCUUGAGGACAACCUAGAGUAUUGGGAUUAUGUUAUCCUUAGAAUGGCCAAGCUUAUUCGGGAUUGGAAGAGUGAUCUAAAGAAAAGAUAUUUCACAAAAGUAUCUGCUAAUUGGAAGAGGAUCUAUAAGCUUGAUAAAAGAGUUUCCAUUUAAUUGGAUGACUCUCAUUAUCGAAUGGGAGGGUGAGAAGAAGAAAAUAUGUGAGACGACAUCGGCGAAUCGCAGAUCGAAGCUAUACGAUCACUUUUUAGGAUCUACUCCUUAUGCUCG